rnacentral:rRNA from 1 species
UCCUACGGGAGGCAGCAGUGGGGAAUAUUGGACAAUGGGGGCAACCCUGAUCCAGCAAUGCCGCGUGUGUGAAGAAGGCCUUCGGGUUGUAAAGCACUUUUAUCGGGAACGAAACAUUGUCGGUGAAUAUCCGGCAAGACUGACGGUACCCGAGGAAUAAGCACCGGCUAACUUCGUGCCAGCAGCCGCGGUAAUACGAAGGGUGCAAGCGUUACUCGGAAUUACUGGGCGUAAAGGGUGCGUAGGUGGUUUUUUAAGUCUGCUGUGAAAUCCCCGGGCUCAACCUGGGAAUGGCAGUGGAUACUGGAAAGCUAGAGUGCGGUAGAGGGUAGUGGAAUUCCCGGUGUAGCAGUGAAAUGCGUAGAGAUCGGGAGGAACACCAGUGGCGAAGGCGGCUACCUGGACCAGCACUGACACUGAGGCACGAAAGCGUGGGGAGCAAACAGGAUUAGAUACCCGAGUA